AUGGCCUAUGAAGCCGGUUGGAAAGGUUUGGGUCAAUUUUCCAACCAAACCCAGAUGGCAAAAAUCCUUGUGUUUCUACCAAGUCGUUUGUUCUGUGUUCCAUGUUGAGAAUAAUAGAUGCGACAUCAAGAAAAAUGCAUACGGCUUGUUUUCAGCUACAAGGGGAUAAGAUCAGCAAACCAUAUACUGUGGGCCAAGUCUAAGCCUCUAAGCAAUGAUCAAGAGGAUAAGAUCAGCAAACAAUGUCCUUUGAAUUGAAUGAAAGAACCAACUUGACCGCAGACUCUCUUGCCAAGGAUUGUGUUAGAUGUCAAGCCAACUUGUCUAUCAAAAUCAGAGUAGUGGAUGGAGAAGACUAUGAAAAUGGUGCAGGAUGACUGAGAGGACUUAGAACAUUGAUAUACAUGCUUUUCUUUGUUUCUGCAGAAGCAGUGCAUCUACAAGGGCAACAAAUGGAAAGGAAAAUAAGCGAAUGAUACUUCCAGUACUAUAUUUGUCAGCUCUGUUUUUUUUCGUGGUCUCGAAGAAAAUGAUGAACCGACUCACUGGUUCACUUUUGUGCUGUACUAAAUGUGUCAAUUAAAACUGCUUGUUGUUCAUUUUCUGCAGUCAAUUGUUCCCAGCUAGAGUUUCAUCUUUCUUUGUUUUUUUUUAUUUUAUGUUAGUUAUUUGAUAUGUAGCUCUGUUGAAUGUUUUCUAUGUUAAAUUUAUAGAAAAAGAAUGUUGAAUUCCCGGCCAUGAAGGAAUAAGAACGUUGAUUUAGAAGUUAGGAUUUCAUUAGAAGUGUCGGGGGGAGAGGAGAAUUGAUAUACUGACCUCUCUGUUGGUGCCAAAACCCUGGAUAUGUUUUAUACUUCAGACCAAAGAAUAUAACACAUGGAUCUCUUCAUGGAAAACUAGUUUGUAACUUUGUAUGUGAUAUUACAAACACUUUGUAGUAUAUUUAUUCAAGUAUCAAAUAGCAAUAUACCCUUA